rnacentral:rRNA from 1 species
UACAGAGGUGGCAAGCGUUGUUCGGAAUUACUGGGCGUAAAGGGCGCGUAGGCGGCCAUCUAAGUCAGACGUGAAAUCCCCAGGCUCAACCUGGGAACUGCGUCCGAUACUGGCAGGCUUGAAUCCGGGAGAGGGAUGUGGAAUUCCAGGUGUAGCGGUGAAAUGCGUAGAUAUCUGGAGGAACACCGGUGGCGAAGGCGGCAUCCUGGACCGGUAUUGACGCUGAGGCGCGAAAGCUAGGGGAGCAAACGGG